CUGAACUCGAAGAGAGAGGAAAGAUGACAGAGAAAACAGAGAAGCAAAGGUCGAAGGAGAAAGACGGCGGAAAGAAUUCCGGCGACCGGAAUAUAAUGUAUCCAGGUCGUCCCUUUACACCGAACCUUCCGCGGCCAAGGAGCAGCAUAAAAAAUGGCUUCUUGAAAACAGAUCAUCCAAGGGUGGGGAAUCUUAUCAUUAAAGUGUGGUUAUGGGCGGUGGCGGUGGCGGCGGCGGCGGCGGCGGCGGCGGCGCCCCCCAAACCCAAAUCAUAAAAUUGGCUUUUUGAAAAAGGAGGCCGUAACAGUGGUGAAGCCAGUUGUUCGCAAUGUUGAGUGGGUCCCGGUAACUUUAUGCUUA